UGGGGAAUAUUGCGCAAUGGGGGGAACCCUGACGCAGCCAUGCCGCGUGAAUGAAGAAGGCCUUCGGGUUGUAAAGUUCUUUCGGUAUUGAGGAAGGUUGAUGUGUUAAUAGCACAUCAAAUUGACGUUAAAUACAGAAGAAGCACCGGCUAACUCCGUGCCAGCAGCCGCGGUAAUACGGAGGGUGCGAGCGUUAAUCGGAAUAACUGGGCGUAAAGGGCACGCAGGCGGUUAUUUAAGUGAGGUGUGAAAGCCCCGGGCUUAACCUGGGAAUUGCAUUUCAGACUGGGUAACUAGAGUACUUUAGGGAGGGGUAGAAUUCCACGUGUAGCGGUGAAAUGCGUAGAGAUGUGGAGGAAUACCGAAGGCGAAGGCAGCCCCUUGGGAAUGUACUGACGCUCAUGUGCGAAAGCGUGGGGAGCAAACAGGAUUAGAUACCCUGGUAGUCCACGCUGUAAACGCUGUCGAUUUGGGGGUUGGGGUUUAACUCUGGCGCCCGUAGCUAACGUGAUAAAUCGACCACCUGGGGAGUACGGCCGCAAGGUUA
rnacentral:rRNA from 1 species